rnacentral:rRNA from 1 species
GACGAACGCUGGCGGCGUGCCUAAUACAUGCAAGUUGAGCGAUGAAGAUUGGUGCUUGCACCAAUUUGAAGAGCAGCGAACGGGUGAGUAACGCGUGGGGAAUCUGCCUUUGAGCGGGGGACAACAUUUGGAAACGAAUGCUAAUACCGCAUAACAACUUUAAACAUAAGUUUUAAGUUUGAAAGAUGCAAUUGCAUCACUCAAAGAUGAUCCCGCGUUGUAUUAGCUAGUUGGUGAGGUAAAGGCUCACCAGGGCGAUGAUACAUAGCCGACCUGAGAGGGUGAUCGGCCACAGUGGGACUGAGACACGGCCCAAACUCCUACGGGAGGCAGCAGUAGGGAAUCUUCGGCAAUGGACGAAAGUCUGACCGAGCAACGCCGCGGGAGUGAAGAAGGUUGUCGGAUCGUAAAACUCUGUUGGUAGAGAAGAACGUUGGUGAGAGUGGAAAGCUCAUCAAGUGACGGUAACUACCCAGAAAGGGACGGCUAACUACGUG